AUCAUGGAUCAGGGAAAGCGAAGGCAGGAGCGUGAGGUGAACUGAAUUUCAGCUGAUUGCAGCACUAUUUAAGAUGGCGGAUCUGCACUAGUCUUCGCUGGAUCGUUGAGCUAUCAGCAUUUUCCCUGAACCUGUUUAAUGGACAACAAGAGGAGCGGCAGUGGAGAGGAGUCGGAUUCUGUACAGAAAGUUGUGGAGCACUUUUCCCCGACCCCUGUUUCCCCCACGGACCCGGGAGACCCGGACCCCUCUUCCCCUGCACGUUGUAUAUGUCCACUUGGUGUUUUGUUCACUGUAAAUAAACGCACUGUCUUUUGCCUGAGGAAAACCUGGACUGCGCCUGGGCCCCUUUAAGAAACCUUAUCAAUGGUGCUGUCUGUUGGAGCAGCAGCUUAUCUACAGCUGAGAGGAUCAGCUCAUCAGGAAGGCCAGGUCUGUGCUAGGAUAGGAGAUGGGCAGUAAUGCGUAAUCUGAUUACUUUUUUCAAGUCACGAGUACUGUAAGGGAUUACUAUUGCAAAAUGUAAUUAGAUUACCUAUGCUUUCCCGUAAGCAUGCUGCGUUACUGUGUUACUAAAGUGUUGUGCUUUUGUUUGUGAGAGUGUCUCAUGGCAAUGACGUAUAAGCGUGCGACGUCCGUGGUAACAGAGGUGUGAAGAUCAACGAUGGAUAAUAUGGAGAGAGUACGACCAUGCAGCAUUUAAAGUGUGGAAGUAAUCACAUUACUUUGAGUUUGAUUCUGUAAAAAGUGACAAAAACAUCAGUGUCUGCUGUUCACUCUG